CUUGAUCGAGCCGAGCAGCAGCGGCUCGUGGCCGUCCCGGUCCUGCCCGUACGUGACCAGCAGCGCCUGCGCCUC
rnacentral:antisense_RNA from 1 species